CCUACGGGUGGCAGCAGUGAGGAAUAUUGGUCAAUGGACGAGAGUCUGAACCAGCCAAGUAGCGUGAAGGAUGACUGCCCUACGGGUUGUAAACUUCUUUUAUAUGGGAAUAAAAUGUUCCACGUGUGCGUUUUUGUAUGUACCAUAUGAAUAAGGAUCGGCUAACUCCGUGCCAGCAGCCGCGGUAAUACGGAGGAUCCGAGCGUUAUCCGGAUUUAUUGGGUUUAAAGGGAGCGUAGGUGGAUUGUUAAGUCAGUUGUGAAAGUUUGCGGCUCAACCGUAAAAUUGCAGUUGAAACUGGCAGUCUUGAGUACAGUAGAGGUGGGCGGAAUUCGUGGUGUAGCGGUGAAAUGCUUAGAUAUCACGAAGAACUCCGAUUGCGAAGGCAGCUCACUGGACUGCAACUGACACUGAGGCUCGAAAGUGUGGGUAUCAAACAGGAUUAGAUACCCCUGUAGUC
rnacentral:rRNA from 1 species